rnacentral:rRNA from 1 species
UUAAUUGAAGAGUUUGAUCAUGGCUCAGAUUGAACGCUGGCGGCAGGCCUAACACAUGCAAGUCGAGCGGCAGCGACAGCAACAAUCCUUCGGGUGCGUUGGUGGGCGGCGAGCGGCGGACGGGUGAGUAAUGCCUGGGAAUAUGCCCUGAUGUGGGGGAUAACUAUUGGAAACGAUAGCUAAUACCGCAUAAUCUCUUCGGAGCA